GCCAUUUUCAAGACUUUUGAAGCUGGGGUUUGACUUCCAAUUUUCUUUGGUUUGAAGAGGGUUAGGAAUGGCAAACACCAAGUUGAAUAAACUGUGCAUGGACAAAGAUGAUCCAAUGCUCAAUGUCAAAGUGCGAUGCAAACAUCGUAUUUUGCUGCAAAUGCAAACUUCUUGGUCAGAUCGAAAUCCCAAAAGACGAUUUUGGUUUGUCCUCACUAUGAGGCCACAAAUUGCAAGUUUUUCAGAUGAAGAGACAAGGAAAGAGUUGAUGAGUGAUCAAAGUUUAUUCUUCCAAGAUUGGUAAACAAAAUCAAAGAGUUAGAAGAAAAUUACGACCGUCUUAAGCUGUAUUUGGAUGAGCUUGAAGAUUCAAAACAGAAUGUUGAUUCGAAAGAGAAGAGUAUGA